GAUUCUCGACGUGAAACAACGCCUUCUCGGAAUCGGCGAAAGAAACCGCAGAAAAAUAGUUCGCGUCAUCUAAAGGACAGCGUUUUCAUUGCAACCUCGGAGAAGAAGAACACACGAGAUUUCUCCGGAGAAACACCAAUUUGUUUUACAGGAGAAAAAAUUUCCCGGUGGCAUCCACUCACACAGCUGGCCAGAGAUAUCUCCAAAACAGCCAAUGAUGUUCUUGUUCCGCAAAUCUAUACGUCAAAUGCUUUUGCUCGAAGAAAGAGUGCGUAAAGGAAGAUAGGUGUAUGGAAAACAAAAGUGAUCGCAUCAUAUCAUUGACCUGGUUCCUCUAUCUACACACAUUGCUUGGUCAUCUUUUGUCAGGAAGUGGCUGAAUCAUUGACCUCUCAAGAAUGCGGGCUCGGAGAUCGAUCUAUAAUCGAUUAUCCAAGUAGUUUGUUUUCAAGAACCGUGGACAUGGGAAGGCGAUACAAUUGAAAUCAAGUAAAGUACACUUUGGCUUUUCUUCUAACCAACGCAAGCAAACUGUCUAUACUACCGUGAACACAUAGUGAUCAGAGUUAAGGACCGUCAGCCCGGGGAAUUCAAGAACUCGUUGAACGAUCAUAUGUUCAACGAUGAUGAUGAAACUCCCUUUGUAAUGGUUUUGGUUUACCAAAAUUUUCCCUAGUGCGCAUUGAUAUAAGAUAGAAUGAGAUCCUCAUGUUGAAGUUGCUGCAAGGGGGAUUUCAGUGCUGCCCUUUCUUCUGCGAACCCCCUCUAAACGGCUUGCAUGUCUAUCCGGAUUGACUGAAACGACACGGUGUCUCCAGGAAACUUGGGUAAAAGCGGCAUGCAGUUCUGGUGGACCCUGCAGGCAAGCAAGAAUGAGAUGCCGUUUCACUUUCAAUAGUUUUGUGCGGGUCAUGGCAAUUUAUGGGCAUGUGCAUGUGUGGACUUUGUAGGAUACGGUACAAAGAAGAUAAACUCGUGCAGAGAUUGAGUGGGUCGAUUUGACGACCCAUCUCAAUUUAAAUGAUGAGACACAUCGUUCUUUUAUUACAAAAUAUCAUUAAAUGUUGGAUACAAAUAUCUACCGUAUUAAAUUAUAUUAAUUAGAUCCGUGGUUCCCUUCUGCCA